rnacentral:rRNA from 1 species
ACUAGCUAACUGAAAUCUUUCUUUGCUUUAAGGAGCAUCGAGCCUUUUAUAAGGUACAAAGAGAUAAGGUCAGGGAUAAUAAUGAUAUUACCUUUCUAUAGUGUUGUCAAAAAUUGGUGCCAGAAGACUCGGUAAGGCCAAAAACGCAAACGUUAAUCAUCUUUAUCAGGCGUAAAGGGUUUGUAGGCGGCUUUAAACACUUUAACCAAAGAUACAUCAACCCCCAGAUUGACUGAAUCAAAAAAAAAUUUUUUGUAUAUUAAAUGCAUCUUUUUGUUUUUUGAAGUUCUACUAAUUUUUAAAUUUCAGUAGAACUGUAUCUUAAAGUAAUUUAUUUAUGUUUCAAAACAUAAAGAUAAAUUCAGUUUUUUCAAAAUUUUAUUUUAAAAUAGAAUGCUGAAGUAAACUUUUUUUUAAAAAUAAAAAGGUUAAGUACAAAUUAAAGCUAGAAUCAGGUAGAGGUUAUAUUAUAUAAUGCUUAAUGGAGGGGUUUUAUCUUUAGAUAUUAAGUGGAAUAUUAAUAGCGAAAGCUUUUUUACUAAUACGGAUUAAUGACGCUGAGAAACGAAGGGGAGGAGAGGAAACAGGAUUAGAUACCCACAUACCCCUCCCUGUCAACGAUGAAUGGUAAUUAUUAGUUAGGUUGUAAUUAUAAACCUAUUAUUAGUUUUAAUGUUAACACGUUAACCAUUCCGCCUUGUGAGUACGAUUGCAAAAUUGAAAACAAAAAAAUUAGUCAGUUUCGGAGCAACGA